rnacentral:rRNA from 1 species
GAAACGGCGUCUAAUACUGGAUAUGAGCUCUCAUCGCAUGGUGGGGGUUGGAAAGAUUUUUCGGUCUGGGAUGGGCUCGCGGCCUAUCAGCUUGUUGGUGAGGUAAUGGCUCACCAAGGCGUCGACGGGUAGCCGGCCUGAGAGGGUGACCGGCCACACUGGGACUGAGACACGGCCCAGACUCCUACGGGAGGCAGCAGUGGGGAAUAUUGCACAAUGGGCGGAAGCCUGAUGCAGCAACGCCGCGUGAGGGAUGACGGCCUUCGGGUUGUAAACCUCUUUUAGCAGGGAAGAAGCGAGAGUGACGGUACCUGCAGAAAAAGCGCCGGCUAACUACGUGCCAGCAGCCGCGGUAAUACGUAGGGCGCAAGCGUUAUCCGGAAUUAUUGGGCGUAAAGAGCUCGUAGGCGGUUUGUCGCGUCUGCUGUGAAAUCCCGAGGCUCAACCUCGGGCCUGCAGUGGGUACGGGCAGACUAGAGUGCGGUAGGGGAGAUUGGAAUUCCUGGUGUAGCGGUGGAAUGCGCAGAUAUCAGGAGGAACACCGAUGGCGAAGGCAGAUCUCUGGGCCGUAACUGACGCUGAGGAGCGAAAGGGUGGGGAGCAAACAGGCUUAGAUACCCUGGUAGUCCACCCCGUAAACGUUGGGAACUAGUUGUGG